rnacentral:tRNA from 1 species
GUCCAGAGUAGCUUAGUAGACAUGGCAUCUGCCCGGUAAGCGGAACAUUGUGGGUUCGAUUCCCAUCCCUGGACA